GACGAACCGUGCGGACGUUAUUCGGAAUCACUGGGCUUAAAGCGCGUGUAGGCGGGACGGCACGUCGGUCGCUGAAAGCCCCCGGCUCAACCGGGGAACGGGCGCCGAUACGACCGGCCUGGAGGGACGUAGGGGGACCUGGAACUUCCGGUGGAGCGGUGAAAUGCGUUGAGAUCGGAAGGAACGCCCGUGGCGAAAGCGAGGUCCUGGACGUUUUCUGACGCUGAGACGCGAAAGCCAGGGGAGCGAACGGG
rnacentral:rRNA from 1 species